rnacentral:rRNA from 1 species
GGGUUGUGAGGUUAAGCGACUAAGCGUACACGGUGGAUGCCCUGGCAGUCAGAGGCGAUGAAGGGCGUGCUAAUCUGCGAUAAGCGCCGGUAAGGUGAUAUGAACCGUUAUAACCGGCGAUACCCGAAUGGGGAAACCCAGUGUGACUCGUCACACUAUCAUUAACUGAAUCCAUAGGUUAAUGAGGCGAACCGGGGGAACUGAAACAUCUAAGUACCCCGAGGAAAAGAAAUCAACCGAGAUUCCCCCAGUAGCGGCGAGCGAACGGGGAGGAGCCCAGAGCCUGAAUCAGCAUGUGUGUUAGUGGAAGCGUCUGGAAAGGCGCGCGAUACAGGGUGACAGCCCCGUACACAAAAGCGCAUGUGCUGUGAGCUCGAUGAGUAGGGCGGGACACGUGGUAUCCUGUCUGAAUAUGGGGGGACCAUCCUCCAAGGCUAAAUACUCCUGACUGACCGAUAGUGAACCAGUACCGUGAGGGAAAGGCGAAAAGAACCCCGGCGAGGGGAGUGAAAAAGAACCUGAAACCGUGUACGUACAAGCAGUGGGAGCCCCACCACCAAAGCAUUUGCUGUACCGCGUUGACGGAGCGAAGCGACGUCAAACCGAUAAAACAGCAGUGUAAAGUGAGCCGCAGGGCGCUUUGCGCGACAGCGCAAAGGCAGGCGGUUUCGCGUAGCGAAAGCGAAUGCUUUGGGGUGGGGUGACUGCGUACCUUUUGUAUAAUGGGUCAGCGACUUAUAUUCUGUAGCAAGGUUAACCGAAUAGGGGAGCCGGAGGGAAACCGAGUCUUAAUUGGGCGUUAAGUUGCAGGGUAUAGACCCGAAACCCGGUGAUCUAGCCAUGGGCAGGUUGAAGGUUGGGUAACACUAACUGGAGGACCGAACCGACUAAUGUUGAAAAAUUAGCGGAUGACCUGUGGCUGGGGGUGAAAGGCCAAUCAAACCGGGAGAUAGCUGGUUCUCCCCGAAAGCUAUUUAGGUAGCGCCUCGUGAAUUCAUCUCCGGGGGUAGAGCACUGUUUCGGCUAGGGGGCCAUCCCGGCUUACCAACCCGAUGCAAACUGCGAAUACCGGAG